rnacentral:rRNA from 1 species
CACACCGCCCGUCACACCAUGGAAGUCUGCUGCACCAGAAGUAGGUAGUCUAACCGCAAGGGGGGCGCCUACCACGGUGUGGCCGAUGACUGGGGGUG